UGAGCAGGCCGGAUGGCUGCGCCCAGCUACUGUAAUCAGUGGCCGGGUGAGGAAAGUCCGAGCUCCACAGGGCAAGGGCGCCGGGUAAUGCCCGGCGGAGGCGACUCCAGGGAAAGUGCAACAGAAAUAGACCGCCCGGCUACUGGUUACAGUGGCCGGGUAAGGAUGGAAAGGGGAGGUAAGAGCUCACCGACGCCGCGGCGACGCGGCGUGCCAUGUAAACCCCGUCCGGUGCAAGAUUGAAUUGGGGACACUUGUGGCGUAUGCCACAGAAAUAGCGGCCCGCUAAGUCCUUUGUAAUCGCAAGAACCCGUUUGGCAACAUCGGGUCCAGAUAGAUGGCCAUCAAGACAGAACUCGGCUUACAGGCCUGACUCAAAAC
rnacentral:RNase_P_RNA from 1 species